rnacentral:miRNA from 1 species
AGUCAGUCUCCUGGCUGGAGUC